rnacentral:rRNA from 1 species
CCUACCGGGAGGCAGCAGUAGGGAAUAUUGGGCAAUGGUCGCAAGACUGACCCAGCCAUGCCGCGUGCAGGAAGACGGCCCUCUGGGUUGUAAACUGCUUUUAUCUGGGAAGAAAAAGUCCAUGCGUGGAAAAUUGCCGGUACCAGAUGAAUAAGCACCGGCUAACUCCGUGCCAGCAGCCGCGGUAAUACGGAGGGUGCAAGCGUUGUCCGGAUUUAUUGGGUUUAAAGGGUGCGUAGGCGGCUGAAUAAGUCAGCGGUGAAAGACUUCGGCUUAACCGGAGCAGUGCCGUUGAUACUGUUUAGCUUGAGUGUUGGAGGGGUACAUGGAAUUGAUGGUGUAGCGGUGAAAUGCAUAGAUACCAUCAGGAACACCGAUAGCGAAGGCAUUGUACUGGCCAACAACUGACGCUGAGGCACGAAAGUGUGGGGAUCGAACAGGAUUAGAUACCCUGGUAGUCCACACCGUAAACGAUGAUUACUCGCUGUUAUGGUGUAUGCUGUAGCGGCCAAGCGAAAGCGUUAAGUAAUCCACCUGGGGAGUACGCCGGC